rnacentral:rRNA from 1 species
GUGAUAUUUAUAUCAUAGUGGCGCACGGGUGCGUAACACGUAUGCAACCUACCUAUUAUUGGGGGAUAGCCUUUGGAAACGGAGAUUAAUACCGCAUAAUACGAUUAACUGGCAUCGGUUGAUUGUUAAAGCAUUUGCGAUAAUAGAUGGGCAUGCGUCCAAUUAGUUAGUUGGUGUGGUAAUGGCUCACCAAGACGAUGAUUGGUAGGGGAUCUGAGAGGAUAAUCCCCCACACUGGCACUGAGAUACGGGCCAGACUCCUACGGGAGGCAGCAGUAGGGAAUAUUGGGCAAUGGGCGGAAGCCUGACCCAGCCAUGCCGCGUGCAGGAAGACGGCGUUAUGCGUUGUAAACUGCUUUUUUAUAGGAAGAAGGAUCCCUUGCGAGGGAAGGUGACGGUACUAUAAGAAUAAGCACCGGCUAACUCCGUGCCAGCAGCCGCGGUAAUACGGAGGGUGCAAGCGUUGUCCGGAUUUAUUGGGUUUAAAGGGUGCGUAGGCGGUUUAUUAAGUCAGUGGUGAAAGACGGUCGCUCAACGAUUGCAGUGCCAUUGAUACUGGU